rnacentral:rRNA from 1 species
UCCAACGCAUCCUUCGGGGUGAGUGGCAGACGGGUGAGUAACACGUGGGAACAUACCUUUUGGUUCGGAAUAACUCAUGAAAACGUGAGCUAAUACCGGAUACGCCCUUUUGGGGAAAGAUUUAUUGCCGAAAGAUUGGCCCGCGUCUGAUUAGCUAAUUGGUGAGGUAAUGGCUCACCAAAGCGACCAUCACUACCUGGUCUGACAGGAUGAUCA